AAUAGAUACCCAGGUAGUCCACGCCGUAAACGUUGGGCACUAGGUGUGGGGUCUAUUCAACGGACUCCGUGCCGUCGCUAACGCAUUAAGUGCCCCGCCUGGGGAGUACGGCCGCAAGGCUAAAACUCAAAGGAAUUGACGGGGGGCCCGCACAAGCAGCGGAGCAUGUUGCUUAAUUCGAGGCAACGCGAAGAACCUUACCUGGGUUUGACAUGUAGAGAAAAGCCAUAGAGAUAUGGUGUCCUUCGGGGUUCUACACAGGUGGUGCAUGGUUGUCGUCAGCUCGUGUCGUGAGAUGUUGGGUUAAGUCCCGCAACGAGCGCAACCCUUGUCCUAUGUUGCCAGCACGUCAUGGUGGGGACUCGUAGGAGACUGCCGGGGUCAACUCGGAGGAAGGUGGGGACGACGUCAAAGUCAUCAUGCCCCUUAUAUCCAGGGCUGCAAACAUGCUACAAUGGCCGGUACAAAGGGCUGCGAAACCGCGAGGUGGAGCGAAUCCCAGUAAAGCCGGUCUCAGUUCGGAUUGGAGUCUGCAACUGACUCC
rnacentral:rRNA from 1 species